rnacentral:lncRNA from 1 species
GAAACCUAAUUUGCCCGAUACCUGCCACAGCAGACAUCAUUGUGGGCCUCAUGACCAGAAGAUAUAACAUGUAUUCUGACAGGCAGAUACACAACUGACGAUCAAGACGACGAAGUUCUUCUUCUUGUACAUCAUCAGGUUUUUCUUUUUCCUCUUGCUCUUUGUAAUGGCAGAGGUCAGUAGCAAUAUGCCACAUUAAAAGGCAUUCAUCGUAUUCUUUCUCAACACUCCAUAGAAGGGAGUGGCAAGCAUUCUGUGACAGAAUCCAAUCGCCCCUUCCUGAACAUAUCUCCUUGGCAAUUCUUGACUGCUCUGCACGUCUAGCCUUCUCCUCUGCACUUUUAGCCUUCUCCUCUAGCUGCUCUGAACUUUUAGCCUUCUCCUUUAGCUCUUUGAAGAUGAAUUCCUUUAGUUUUUCCUCGACAGUCACAGUUUUCUUGUACUGAAUCUCAUCCAGAAGAUCCUUAAGUCCGCAAAUGUCUGCUAAUUUGUCGAACCAUUUGAACCUUUCCCUCAGGCAGUAACGUAUCAAACCGUGCUGUGAGAUAGAAUUAGACCACCUUCUGUCAAAAAAAGAUUUAGAUGGCUCCCAUAGUUUGUAAAAAAAGAGUUUUUCACGUGCAUAAUAGAUCCAUCUUUUUGCAGUAGAAUUUUUCAGUAAAACUAUAGUCCAGUCAGAGAAAAUGAGCUUGACGAUAGCUAUAACAUCCAGGCCAAUUGCACCAAUAAGCAAAGCAUAAGUAACACCUAUGUCAAACUUGUGAAUUUUGUGCUUAUGAUGAGAUGCAAAGAGCUGCAAGGCAACUGCUAUGCAUCCUGUGCAAAUGAAACGGAAAAAGUAGCCAAUCUUACGAUUCACCACUGCCAUCUUGGUGUAGAGUGCAUCAUACAUGAAAUUGAGCUCAACUUCUAUCACUCGAAAAGCCUUUUCUGGCAACAUUCCAAAGAAGAAUUUUCGACUGUCAUUGCGCUCUUGGAAGCUAAACAUGAGGUCAACAAUGAGUCCCUUGAAAAUUUUAAAAAACUUGUACCCACUUUCCAUUUCUGAGAUGUGAUUAGGUCCAGUAGAUGGUUCUUCUGGAACUGAGGAAGCAGAAGUGCUGGCUCUUUUCUCUGGUGCUAUUAUAAUUUUUACUGGAACAUGGGCCUCUUUCUUUGAGGAGUAUUCCUCCAUAAGUUGAGCAUAGUUUGGUCCAGCGUCUGGAGGUGGAAGCAUAGACUCCUUGAAAUUACCCAAGCAAGCUAGAUACAAAGCACGCGUCCGCUCAGCAUAUUUAAUAGUUCCAGCAACCAACAUGAGGAUUGUCGGGAUCCAUAGGUCAUUCGAGAUCGACUCUAAGAAGACAUAAGCUACAGCAAUAAACUGGAUGACAAGGCCCAGCAAAUGCCGAAGCCAAAGUUCAUUAUCUUCAAGAGCGAAAGCAGUGAUGGUAUCCGGGCCACCAAGGUGUAGCAAAAGAAAAGGAGCCCAGAAAGCCAGAAGGUCGUCAUUUUGAACUUGUUUGUCACCGUCCUUGUUGCCGUUGGCAAUGAGGCCAACAGCAAAGGCAGCAACCCAGUCAGCAAGCAAGUAUACUGACCAGAUAAUGAAAGUCAUAAUCAUGUUUCCUGUUCGUUUUCGUGACGAUGCACAGAAAAUUAACAAUAUCUGGAAGAAAAGGCUAACAAGAACAGCACCACGGAGAUUCCAUUCAUCCCAAAUCUCCUUGAGGAAUAGGGGAAAUAUGUUCAUGCCUGCUUAUGUUUCUUUCUUCUCUCCUAUUCUGUCAGAUUCUGAUUAGGUUUCAAAAUUAGUGCAAAUCACACACUCAACUGAAAAGAACUAAGAAGAUUCUGCAUUCUAAAUCAGAUUAUCAGAAUCCCCAAAUAUUACAGCAUCUUAUCCACACUUCCUCUGUUCAAGGUAGUGAAUUCUUUUAGAAAAACUUAUCCCAAAAUUCCAAUCACUUGAUUGCAUUUUGAGAUAUGCUUGAAAUGAUCCCAUUUUCCUCUGAUGGCAUUCAAAUGAGUUCAUCAUCUACAUCAACCCCCCCUUCAAUACGAAAAGAGUAUUUCAACUUUCAUUCUUAGCUUUGGUGGGUAGCUGACAUGCCAUAACUCAAAUUUACAUGCAAGUAUGCAACCCAUCAUCAAGUCUACAAGCAGAAGAAAAAAGAAAAAGGAAAAAGGAAAAAGGAAAAAAGAAAAUUCCUACACUAUGACUAAAAGCACUACAAGAUUACUGUUGGGCGAAAGGGGAAGCAAACAGACCUUCCAUUAUUCAGAACAAACAAGGCAUCAACUAAGGGGAGGAAAUUAAGAACACAGUUUGGAAAAGUAAAGGAGAGCAUGGAAAUUAUGAGUAAAAAAAGACAAAAUAAAAAAUAAAAAAGAGGAAAAUACCUCCUUAAACCCAAGAUCUGCAAUUUAACUCUCUUGUUCUCGGUUCUUCAGAAAUGGGGUUUCUCAGAUGAACUCACAGAGAUCCCAAGAGCAGAAAGAGAGAGAGACAGACUGACCAUUUUGUGUCGUGGACUUAAAAGACUCUGCUUGACUUGGAAUCUUUCUAUCUACCUUUUCAAUGAGAAGACGAAGACCAAAAAUAAACGACGCCGUUUUUACAAAUUUCUCCUCUAAACGCACCGUUUUGUUGCUAGGCGAAAACAUGUUGGUUGGCUGCGAAACGGUCACUCGUUUCAAACUCUUCAAAGUUCGGAUUUAAAUAUUGGGGGCAUGUUUGGAAUGUUUUCAAAAAUAGUCUCUGAUGAUUUUUUAAAACAAAAUUCUAUUGGCAGGGUAAUGUUUUUUAUUUUUUUAAAAUAAUUUUUUUCUGUACUAUUUUAUUUUCAAUGAUUCUUUACAUAGAGAUAAUUAUUGUUUUAAAACAACCCAAAAAAUAAAUAAAAAUAAUUAAGACAUAUUCUUAAAAAAAUCAAAUGUUUAGAAAAAGUUCUCAAAAAAAAUUAUUUUUUUAAUAAAAACAAUAAUUAUUCUAAACAACAACACAACACCAUGAAGCAGUAGAAGCAAUCGACAUUUUCGCAUGCAUGUAUAUGAGUGUUCAUGUGAGACGCAUAAAGGUCAGUACUCUAUAAUCAAACUAUCAAGGCAUUGAGAAAAAGAAAAACAUGAGAUUAGAGGAAGCAGACAAACAACUUCCUCAGUGAUUCACUCGAUAAUUGUCCAACUCAAAAUCUUCAGAGAAGAUUACAAAGGGAUAACACCUCAAUGGAACCCAAUAAACUGAAACUCAUUGCCCAUGGAUAAUACAGAAGCCAUGUUUAUUCUCACACUCCAUGGAGUCGUCCUCAUUGGUUGGUUUGAAGACUUCCUUUACUUGGUUACAAUUAGCUUUGCUCUAGCAUGGCCCUCCUGAAUUCGGAACUGUUCCCCCAAGCCAAAAUGGGCCAUUAGUAACCAAACAAAAGUAAUAAGCUCUCCACCCUUGCUGAGCUGCUGGGCAUGGGUAUUUGCUCUGCAAUGACUUGCAGCGUAAGACAACAAUUCCACCCAGACUUUGCUCAUUAUCAUCCACCUCUUCGUUUUGUUCAAUUUUCUGAGAUCUUUUGCAAGCAUACACGCAUCAAACAAGACUGAUUUGCUUCUAUCUCCUUUAACUUCAAUGGGUUUAACAACGGUAUCUACUGAAAGUAGCUGUUCACAGUACUCUGAUAUCUGAUCUUCCAUUGAUUUUGAUUGUCCUAUGUGAAGAAGCUUCUUAAUUUGCUUGCAGAACUUCUUAAAACAGUUGGGUUCUUGUUGUCCUCUGCGAAAAAACUUCUUUGCUUCCGCACAGGUGUCUCGAAACCUAAUUUGCCCGAUACCUGCCACAGCAGACAUCAUUGUGGGCCUCAUGACCAGAAGAUAUAACAUGUAUUCUGACAGGCAGAUACACAACUGACGAUCACGAUCAUGAUCAAGACGACGAAGUUCUUCUUCUUUUACAUCAUCAGGUUUUUCUUUUUCCUCUUGCUUAUCUUUGUAAUAGCAGAGGUCAGUAGCAAUAUGCCACAUUAAAAGGCAUUCAUCGUAUUCUUUCUCAACACUCCAUAGAAGGGAGUGGCAAGCAUUCUGUGACAGAAUCCAAUCGCCCCUUCCUGAACAUAUCUCCUUGGCAAUUCUUGACUUCUCUGCCCUUCUAG